UACAGAGGGGGCCAGCGUUAUUCGGAAUUAUUGGGCGUAAAGGGCGCGUAGGCGGCCAUGCGUGUCUUCCGUGAAAUCCCUCGGCUUAACCGAGGACGUGCGGAAGAAACUGCAAGGCUCGAGUCCGGAAGAGGGGGGCGGAAUUCCCAGUGUAGCGGUGAAAUGCGUAGAUAUUGGGAGGAACACCAGUGGCGAAGGCGGAGACCUGGGCCGAUACUGACGCUGAGGUGCGAAAGCGUGGGGAGCAAACAGG
rnacentral:rRNA from 1 species